UACGUAGGUGGCAAGCGUUGUCCGGAUUUAUUGGGUUUAAAGGGCGCGUAGGCGGCACAGCAAGUCGGGAGUGAAAGCCCGGGGCUCAACCCCGGAAUGGCUUUCGAAACUGCUGAGCUAGAGUACAGAAGGGGCAACCGGAAUUCCCAGUGUAGCGGUGAAAUGCGUAGAUAUUGGGAAGAACACCUGAGGCGAAGGCGGGUUGCUGGGCUGAUACUGACGCUGAGGCGCGAAAGCCAGGGGAGCAAACGGG
rnacentral:rRNA from 1 species